rnacentral:lncRNA from 1 species
ACUGAGCCCGUGCACAGGAAGGAAACGGUCAGGUUCAGAGACCAAAACAUCUGUCCCUGUGCAUCUUGUAGAGUUGGGGAACUGGGACUCCUGUGACCCAUGUAGAUACAGUGCUUCCCUCUGACUCGAAGGGUUUGGCCCCCGACCCCGGAACGGCCUGAAGCUUGGACUGUCGGCCCUGCCCUUCUUCUGGGCUGGGAGAAAGGGCAGGCAAGAGGCCUUGGGGGUUGGGGCGGGAGACCGAAGGUGGAGAUGUGCCGCUGUGUACAGCCGACUUGCCUGCCCAUCACCCAAACACCAAGUUCCGCUCGCAGAGGAAGUGAGAGGUGUCCGAUUCGGUCUCCCAGAACGCAGCUGGGCUGCCUGAAACGAGCGCCGCGGCGACUCUGAAGGAGGUGUCAUCCCUGGGCCAGUACAGGAUUGAGUCACAGCAGCCGCCACUCCUGCGUCAAAAAUACUGGGCCAUUGUCCCAGGGAGUUUGGCCCCUCAGUCAAGUCAUUUCCGACCCGCAACCUGGAAUCCCAAUGAAGGAAAAAGGGGAGGAAAAGAAGCGGAAACCAGGAUGGCUAAGCAAGCCGAGGAAGACGAGCCCCGGCCAGCUGGAGUAGCACCUGAGUGUGCGACCCCACCCCCCACUGGGGCAUCUUCUCCUUGGUUACAUUCCAGACCCGGAAGCGAAUCCCGGCUGUAUGGUGUCCAAAGACCUACAAUCUGGGGGCAUUCCUUAAUAAAAAGAAUCCAAGAUUCUGAAAACAAACUUAAGUACAAAAGACACUCCCAGCAUCUCCCUGCUCUCACAGGGCCCCGGAAGCUCGUGUCCAGUCAGCUUUACGGACUGGAGGCUGGAGAUCCAAGACCAGGGUGCCAGCAUGGUCGGGUUCUGGUGAGAGCCCUCUUCCGGUUGCAGACUGUAGACUUCUCAUUGCAUCCUCUCAUGUGGUAGAAGUAAAUAGGACCUCACAAUGCACCUCUUACCCAGAGAGGCACGAUGAUUGUCUAAGAACACAGGCAAGCUGGCCGAGGCUGUCGGAUGGCGACCUGUGCUCUGAGGCUUUCCUGGGCUUCACUACAGGGGGGAAGAGCGACAUCCAGCGACCCUGAGCUCAGGGACCAAGCUGCCUUGCCGAUGACAAGUGGUACCACAGAGGCCUCAGCUGCAACUGUUAGUUUCUGAAAGGAGGAACAUGAAGAAGGCCUGGCUCCCUCUCUGCCAAGGUCAGUGAGAGCUUUGGGCUGAUUUCAGCAGCAUGAGUACCCGACUUCAAAUGAAGGAAACCACAUGUGGAGCCAUGCUGAGUGGAAGGGACUUUAGAGGGCAUCUGGCUCAAUCCUCUCCAUUUACAGAUGAGGGACCCUGAGGUCCAGAGAGGUUAAGUGACUUGCCUAGGAUCACACAGCUAGUCACCUCCAGUGCUGAAACUGAAACCCAGGCCUCUUGAUUCCUUAGCUAUUUUUUUAAAAAAAUUUUAAAUUGAAGCAUACAUACGGAAAAGUGUACAUAUUGUAAGUGUACAGCUUGAAUUGCUAUCUUUAAAUGAACACAUCCAAGCAACCACCACCCGAGUCAAGAAAUAGACCAUCUCUAGAACCCCAGAAGCCCCCCUGAUGCUCCCCUUCCAUUCAGUACAAACUCUCUCCUCCUCAAGGUAACCAUGAUCCUGACUUCUAACACCACAGAUUACUUUGCCUUGGCCCAUGUUCUUUGAGUAAAAAACUGUUUUAUGCGGAGUUCAGCUAUUUGGACCUAAAAAAAUGAAUCUUCUGUUUUCUUGGAAUAUUUUAAAUGGUGUAUUAAGAAAGCAUAUUCCGAAAGGAAACCCCAUACUCAUUAAAGAGUAUGAUGUCUCCCUUAGGGGGUGAUAAAA